rnacentral:misc_RNA from 1 species
AAGUCGUAACAAGGUUUCCGUAGGUGAACCUGCGGAAGGAUCAUUAACACUUAAUGAAUCCAAAACCCUUUGGAUCAACCAACCUUUUGUACGAACCCGUUUCCCUUCCGGUUGCAUUUUGUUUAUCCACGCCUUCGCGGCUGGGUAAAUACUUGCAGCCCGUACCCUGUCUUUUCAAUUUUCCUAAACGAUUUUGAUCUUAACUGACUGAAACUUGGGCGGGCUUUGGGACACUCUCGGGUGUUUCAAACCCCCUCACAAACAUAAAACGCGAAACAACUCUUAACAACGGAUAUCUUGGCUCUC